rnacentral:rRNA from 1 species
GAUGAACGCUCGCGAUAGGCUUAACACAUGCAAGUCGAGGGGCAGCACAAGGUAGCUUGCUCUCUGGGUGGCGACCGGCGCACGGGUGCGUAACGCGUAUGCAACUUGCCCUAUACAGGAGGAUAACCCGUCGAAAGACGGACUAAUACUGCGUAUGCUCACAACUUGGCAUCAAGUGGUGAGGAAAGAAAUUCGGUAUAGGAUAGGCAUGCGUCCCAUUAGCUUGUUGGUGAGGUAACGGCUCACCAAGGCAACGAUGGGUAGGGGAACUGAGAGGUUUAUCCCCCACACUGGUACUGAGACACGGACCAGACUCCUACGGGAGGCAGCAGUGAGGAAUAUUGGUCAAUGGGCGCGAGCCUGAACCAGCCAAGUCGCGUGAAGGAUGACUGUCUUAUGGAUUGUAAACUUCUUUUAGACGGGAAUAACAAGAGUCACGUGUGACUCCCUGCAUGUACCGUAUGAAUAAGCAUCGGCUAACUCCGUG